GACGAACGCUGGCGGCGUGCCUAACACAUGCAAGUCGAGCGGGGUUGAGGCGAGAGGUAACUCGAACUUCUACCUAGCGGCGACGGGUGAGUAACGCGUGGGCAACCUGCCUCAAGGUUUGGGAUAACAGCCCAAAGGGCUGCUAAUACCGGAUAUGCCUAUGGCCUCGCAUGGGGCUAUGAGCAAAGGGGAAACCCGCCUUGAGAUGGGCCCGCGUCCCAUCAGCUAGUUGGUGAGGUAACAGCUCACCAAGGCGACGACGGGUAGCCGGCCUGAGAGGGUGACCGGCCACACUGGGACUGAGACACGGCCCAGACUCCUACGGGGGGCAGCAGUGGGGGAUCUUGCACAAUGGGCGAAAGCCUGAUGCAGCGACGCCGCGUGAGCGAAGAAGGCCUUCGGGUUGUAAAGCUCUGUCUGGAGGGACGAACAAAAUGACGGUACCUCCGGAGGAAGCCACGGCUAACUACGUG
rnacentral:rRNA from 1 species